UUUAAAUCCUCACUCAUGACAUAUACCACCCCUUCAUGAUUCUCUAAAAUGAAAGAAAAUCUAAAAGAGAUGGAGAUGAAAGGUAAGGAAUAUACCUUAAGAACUCUUAUGAAUUUCUUGAAAACUCUAAGUCUAAUCUUCCAAAAUAUAUGUUUUGGUUGAGUAUAGCUCUCUUUCUCUCUCAAAAUAAUCUAGGUUGGUAAUUGAAAAAC
rnacentral:lncRNA from 1 species